rnacentral:lncRNA from 1 species
UGCUUUGCUAGUGGUGUGCUGAUCCAUUAGUUUCUUAUGUGAAAACAUGGCGUGAGUUGUGUGAAACUUACCCUGAGUCAAGUCGUGGAUUUGUGCUCGUACUGGUUAUUUGUGUGUUCGCUUUCAGGUGUUGCCGGAGCUAGAAGAACGUGGUCAAUGACGGGAUCGAGAGACGAAGCUUGGGAAGCUGAGGUCGAGGAUCAAGGUCAUGCGGGACGUUCGUGCGAAGGAACAAUGGAAGUGAAGGCUACGAUGAUUCGGGAGGGCACCGGUUUGUCGUAUGUUGUUUAUACCGGAGAUGUACGGUAUUGGAGAUAUUCGAUACGUGAUGGUCGAGUUUUGAAGACAUC